rnacentral:tRNA from 1 species
GCCUUCGUGGUGUAGUGGUCUGCAUGAUCGACGCGUAACCGAGAGGUCCGUGGUUCGAUUCCCGACGAAGGCG